rnacentral:rRNA from 1 species
GAACGCUAGCGAUAGGCUUAACACAUGCAAGUCGAGGGCAGCAUGGUCUUAGCUUGCUAAGACUGAUGGCGACCGGCGCACGGGUGCGUAACGCGUAUGCAACUUGCCUCACAGAGGGGGAUAACCCGUCGAAAGACGGACUAAUACCGCGUACACUCUAUGUUGGGCAUCCAAUGUAGAGGAAAAAGAAAAUUCGCUGUGAGAUAGGCAUGCGUCCCAUUAGCUAGUUGGUGAGGUAACGGCUCACCAAGGCGACGAUGGGUAGGGGAACUGAGAGGUUGAACCCCCACACUGGUACUGAGACACGGACCAGACUCCUACGGGAGGCAGCAGUGAGGAAUAUUGGUCAAUGGGCGAGAGCCUGAACCAGCCAAGUCGCGUGAAGGAUGACUGUCUUAUGGAUUGUAAACUUCUUUUAUACGGGAAUAACAAGAGUCACGUGUGACUCCCUGCAUGUACCGUAUGAAUAAGCAUCGGCUAACUCCGUG